UACGUAGGUGGCAAGCGUUGUCCGGAUUUACUGGGCGUAAAGAGCGCGCAGGCGGCCAAGUCAGUCGAAUGUGAAAGCCCCCGGCUUAACUGGGGAGGGUCAUUCGAUACUGCUCGGCUCGAAGACAGGAGAGGGAAGUGGAAUUCCCGGUGUAGUGGUGAAAUGCGUAGAUAUCGGGAGGAACACCAGUGGCGAAGGCGAACUUUCUGGCCUGUUCUUGACGCUGAGGCGCGAAAGCUAGGGGAGCAAACGGGG
rnacentral:rRNA from 1 species